ensembl:antisense Gm16312 predicted gene 16312
AUCUUGGUCGUCGGGAUCACACUUACCGCCUGGGAAACUAAAUGGGCAGAGGGAAUCUUGGGACCACAGGUCGUCAGGAGGCAGUUUAGCUCUCUGUGCCAUUAGAGUAAGGGGGACAGGCACUGGAGAUAUAGAUUACGACAUGAGGGUCUGGCAGCUGGCUAAGACUAUGCUAGGGCUCAGACACCCCAUGACUGCCUAUGGUGUCCCAGUGGUGCAGAUAUCGUCCCCCGGUGUUCUCAACUUCUGCUGCGGGCGAAGCCAAAGAAGGGGAGCCCCGGAUCUCCUCUCUCCAGUCUACGGCGACUAGAGCGCAGCGUGUAGAGCAACGCGGGGACCCCGCGCACGAGGCACAGCGGCACA